rnacentral:misc_RNA from 1 species
GUGAAUCAUCGAAUUUUUGAACGCAAAUUGCACUCUCUGGUAUACCGGAGAGUAUGCCUGUUUGAGGGUCAGUAAAAAUAAAAAUCGGUGUGGUUGCUGCCUUUCGUGGUGACGCACCGGAUUAGGGUCGUCAUGCCUUGGGUUAAGUGACCAAGAAUUUUGGAUGAAUCAGUUCGAACGUAUUUAAAUGAUUGUACGAACGUUUGCGUAAUCGAGUACUAGGGGUGGUG